UACGUAUGGACCGAGCGUUGUCCGGAAUCAUUGGGAGUAAAGGGUACGUAGGCGGUUUAGAAAGUUAGAAGUGAAAGGCAAUAGCUCAACUAUUGUAAGCUUUUAAAACUGCUUGACUUGAGAGAUUGAUGGGAAAGUGGAAUUCCUAGUGUAGCGGUGAAAUGCGCAGAUAUUAGGAGGAAUACCAGUGGCGAAGGCGACUUUCUGGCCAUUAUCUGACGCUGAGGUACGAAAGCGUGGGUAGCAAACAGG
rnacentral:rRNA from 1 species